CGAUGAAGCCCAGCUUGCUGGGUGGAUUAGUGGCGAACGGGUGAGUAACACGUGAGUAACCUGCCCUUAACUCUGGGAUAAGCCUGGGAAACUGGGUCUAAUACCGGAUAGGAGCGGCAUGGUGGGUGUUGGAAAGAUUUAUCGGUUUUGGAUGGACUCGCGGCCUAUCAGCUUGUUGGUGAGGUAAUGGCUCACCAAGGCGACGACGGGUAGCCGGCCUGAGAGGGUGACCGGCCACACUGGGACUGAGACACGGCCCAGACUCCUACGGGAGGCAGCAGUGGGGAAUAUUGCACAAUGGGCGCAAGCCUGAUGCAGCGACGCCGCGUGAGGGAUGACGGCCUUCGGGUUGUAAACCUCUUUCAGUAGGGAAGAAGCGAAAGUGACGGUACCUGCAGAAGAAGCACCGGCUAACUACGUGCCAGCAGCCGCGGUAAUACGUAGGGUGCGAGCGUUAUCCGGAAUUAUUGGGCGUAAAGAGCUCGUAGGCGGUUUGUCGCGUCUGUCGUGAAAGUCCGGGGCUUAACCCCGGAUCUGCGGUGGGUACGGGCAGACUAGAGUGCAGUAGGGGAGACUGGAAUUCCUGGUGUAGCGGUGGAAUGCGCAGAUAUCAGGAGGAACACCGAUGGCGAAGGCAGGUCUCUGGGCUGUAACUGACGCUGAGGAGCGAAAGCAUGGGGAGCGAACAGGAUUAGAUACCCUGGUAGUCCAUGCCGUAAACGUUGGGCACUAGGUGUGGGGACCAUUCCACGGUUUCCGCGCCGCAGCUAACGCAUUAAGUGCCCCGCCUGGG
rnacentral:rRNA from 1 species